rnacentral:lncRNA from 12 species
ACCUCUAAGAGCAUUUAUGAAAUGAUGACUAAAAUGAGCAAAUUGCUUAGCAAUCCCAGAAAGAAUUAGGGGCGGAAGCUCUGCACUGGGUGACAGCAAUUGCAAAUCCUGUAGAGAUGAAGAAGGCAGUGUUUAUCAGCAGGAAGACUCGGAAGAGGGAUCUGUCAUCAAGGACAAUGCGUUGUCUGUGAACUUUUAGGAUGGACCCAGAGAGUGGCCG